GUCAGGAUAGCCGAGUGGUCGAAGGUGCUGUGUUAAAGUAGCAGUCUCCUCUGGAGGCGUGGGUUCAAAUCCCACUUCUGACA